rnacentral:lncRNA from 1 species
UUAAAUCUAAAAAUAAAUAAUAUAUAUAAGUCUAUUUCAGAUACAUUCGAGUAUCCAUACUUUGGUUUGGGUCGGGUUCGGUUUUGGUUCUCUAGAUUACUUGUUCUUAUUGAUCUUAUUGCUUGUUCUUAUGAUUACUCACUAGAUUUUAGGAUAAUUGAAAUAAAAUGAAAGUGUGACUGAUAUCCUGGCAUGAAUCCUGCUGAGUUAGGUUUUU